rnacentral:rRNA from 1 species
UUGCACGCUGGCGGCAUGCCUUACACCUGCCAGUCGAACGGUAACGGGCCUUCGGGUGCCGCCGAGUGGCGAACGGGUGAGUAAUACAUCGGAACGUGCCCGAUCGUGGGGGAUAACGAGGCGAAAGCUUUGCUAAUACCGCAUACGAUCUACGGAUGAAAGCAGGGGACCGCAAGGCCUUGCGCGGACGGAGCGGCCGAUGGCAGAUUAGGUAGUUGGUGGGAUAAAAGCUUACCAAGCCGACGAUCUGUAGCUGGUCUGAGAGGAUGAUCAGCCACACUGGGACUGAGACACGGCCCAGACUCCUACGGGAGGCAGCAGUGGGGAAUUUUGGACAAUGGGCGCAAGCCUGAUCCAGCCAUGCCGCGUGCAGGAUGAAGGCCUUCGGGUUGUAAACUGCUUUUGUACGGAACGAAAAGCCUUCUUUUAAUACAGGAGGGUCAUGACGGUACCGUAAGAAUAAGCACCGGCUAACUACGUG